GAUGAACGCUAGCGGCAGGCCUAAUACAUGCAAGUCGAACGAUAGUUGGGGCUUGCUCCAACGAAAAGUGGCGCACGGGUGCGUAACGCGUAUGCAACCUACCUUAUUCAGGGGGAUAGCCCGAAGAAAUUCGGAUUAACACCGCAUAAAAUCACAGCUCAGCAUUGAGUAAUGAUCAAAUAUUUAUAGGAAUAAGAUGGGCAUGCGUGUCAUUAGCUAGUUGGCGGGGUAACGGCCCACCAAGGCGACGAUGACUAGGGGAUCUGAGAGGAUGACCCCCCACACUGGUACUGAGACACGGACCAGACUCCUACGGGAGGCAGCAGUAAGGAAUAUUGGUCAAUGGAGGCAACUCUGAACCAGCCAUGCCGCGUGCAGGAAGACAGCCCUCUGGGUCGUAAACUGCUUUUAUUCGGGAAUAAACCUUUCUACGUGUAGAGAGCUGAAUGUACCGAAGGAAUAAGGAUCGGCUAACUCCGUGCCAGCAGCCGCGGUAAUACGGAGGAUCCAAGCGUUACCCGGAUUUAUUGGGUUUAAAGGGUGCGUAGGCGGCUUAUUAAGUCAGGGGUGAAAGACGGUGGCUCAACCAUCGCAGUGCCUUUGAUACUGAUGAGCUUGAAUGAACUAGAGGUAGGCGGAAUGUGACAAGUAGCGGUGAAAUGCAUAGAUAUGUCACAGAACACCGAUUGCGAAGGCAGCUUACUAUGGUUUUAUUGACGCUGAGGCACGAAAGCGUGGGGAUCAAACAGGAUUAGAUACCCUGGUAGUCCACGCCCUAAACGAUGAAUACUCGCUGUUAGCGAUACACAGUUAGCGGCUAAGCGAAAGCGUUAAGUAUUCCACCUGGGGAGUACGCCCGCAAGGGUGAAACUCAAAGGAAUUGACGGGGGCCCGCACAAGCGGAGGAGCAUGUGGUUUAAUUCGAUGAUACGCGAGGAACCUUACCCGGGCUUGAAAGUUAGUGAAUGAUUUAGAGAUAGAUCAGUGAGCAAUCACACGAAACUAGGUGCUGCAUGGCUGUCGUCAGCUCGUGCCGUGAGGUGUUGGGUUAAGUCCCGCAACGAGCGCAACCCCUAUGUUUAGUUGCCAGCACGUUAAGGUGGGGACUCUAAACAGACUGCCUGUGCAAACAGAGAGGAAGGAGGGGACGACGUCAAGUCAUCAUGGCCCUUACGUCCGGGGCUACACACGUGCUACAAUGGAUGGUACAGAGGGCAGCAAGCUGGCAACAGCAAGCAAAUCUCAAAAAGCCAUUCACAGUUCGGAUAGAGGUCUGCAACUCGACCUCUUGAAGUUGGAUUCGCUAGUAAUCGCGUAUCAGCAAUGACGCGGUGAAUACGUUCCCGGGCCU
rnacentral:rRNA from 1 species